rnacentral:lncRNA from 1 species
UUUAACAAAACGAAUAAUUAGAACGCAAUGAUUAGUCGAUCGCUAGCUAGUUCCACCAAAGUAAUGAUCACAGUAUUGGUUUGACUAUGUCUGUUUCCAGGAAUUAUUUAUGAACGUGCGGCCGAUAUUACUUUUAAUUUCCUUGCUGUUAGAUCCGAUCGAGACGUUAGAUCAAGUGAAGCCGGACCUGUGUAUACCUCAAUUGCCUUCCCGAAGUCAUCAGCUCCACUAUCCAGAUGCACGGGAAAUUACUUGACCCAAUUCAAUCUUUCCCAUGAAAAUAAAACUUCAUAAUUAAAAUCCCCCAUUACAAUCCAUUUCUAGCUGUCAAACGUUCUUGAUAUUUGAUAAAAAUCCUCCUAUAGAUGCAUGUUGUCCAGGUAAAUCCGUGAUCUCUAUUUUGAUUCUGGGUCUAUUUUUAAAAUUUAAACGUCCUAAUUUUGUUUUGUUUUGUUUUUAUCCAAGCUCCCAAAAUCCGAAUAUUGGGGUUUUUAAUUUAAACAUACCCGAUAUAUUCUUAUAUCUGAAGUUCAGUGUAUAUAUAUAUAAUUAACAUAUAAACGAUUUUGAAGAAAUUUAGUGUGAGCGCGAUGAAAACAUUAUUGCGUGAAGAUGCUAGCUAGUAAUAAAAGAUAGAGACAGUAUACAUAGCCAAAAACCCUGAUUAGGGUUGAUUAUAACUAGCUCCUUCGGUUACCAUGUAC